ACGUCCCCCUUAUCCCUUCGCGAUUGAUUGAUUGCAUUCGCGAUUUUGUUUUCGGGGUUAUUUUCAGGCCCUUUUGUUUAUCUACGUUUCAAGAUAAAGGUAUUUUAUUAUUUAUCAAUUUGUGCAACGAAUUCUCAGCGAAUUGUAACGACUAGAUUCAGGAAAUUCAAACUUUAUAGGACAGUUUUGCCUGACGAGUUGCGAACGACGAUCAAGCUACGCCCCCUUUGUGAUGUGACCCCAUUGUCUGCAAGGUCGUUAUUGGGGAAACUUUUUGUGAGUGCGGGUUCUUAACGAUCAUUAGUGACGCACCGAUUAGGAACCUUGAUCUUCGAUGUGGACAUUUGAUUUUGGUAAACUUGCUGCGUCACAGUUUUCAUUUCGGUUAUUCUUGGAUUUUUUGCAGGACAUUCCCGUGGCAGAUUGACCAAAGUAUUGUAAACAUAUUCUCACCCAGCUUCAUCACACGGGCAUUUGCGAGACGUUUUGACACCACGAUUUGAAUGAAAGACAUUUCUUCUUUGGCCUUUGUUUCGUUAUAAUUUGAUUGAUUUAGAGGAUCUUUGUAUGUUUAUUGUAAAGUUGAAGGAUAAUUCAAGAUUUUGCAUCCUGCUCUCAAAUAGUUUCAGCGAUUGAUAGGACCCCUAUUUCAUAGAUUUUCAUACCCUACUUCCAAUUGGAUUUUUACGAGGAUGUUUAUGAAACACACGGUUCCCUCAUUGUACUUUUACAGAGUUUGCCCCCUAUGCGUUAUAAACAUCUAUUAGAUUUUGCUUUAAAUGUGCUAUUUAACUUUGGAGGAUCCUCAACUCUAGCCAUUUAUUGUUACCAAUCUUGCAUUUGGUUUUUUACGAGGAUGUUGGUGAAAUACACGCCUCCCUCAUUGUGAUAUAUUUGAGGGUUUGCCUCAUAUAUUUUGAAAACAUCAGAUUUUAGAUUUUGCUUUAGUUAUGGAUUUUGUUUUGAGGAUUCUCAACUCUAGGGUUGGCUCACCAAUAGUAACUAUUAAUUGUUGUUGUUUUCAAAAUUAGCAAACAUUUUGAUAAUUAUUAUGAUGAUGAAGUA